AGCGAACGCUGGCGGCGUGCUUAACACAUGCAAGUCGAACGUGAAAGGGAGCAAUCCCAAGUAAAGUGGCGUAUGGGUGAGUAACGCGUAGGUAAUCUACCCCAGAGUCUGGAAUAACCUGCCGAAAGGCGGGCUAAUACUGGAUAGAGCGACGGAAUCCGCAAUUGGGUUUUUCGGGAAAGGGAGGAAGCAAUUCCCCUUGCUCUGGGAUGAGCCUGCGUCUCAUUAGCUAGUUGGUGGGGUAACGGCCCACCAAGGCAUUGAUGAAUAGCUGGUCUGAGAGGAUGAGCAGCCACACUGGAACUGAAACACGGUCCAGACUCCUACGGGAGGCAGCAGUGGGGAAUCUUGCGCAAUGGACGAAAGUCUGACGCAGCCACGCCGCGUGAGUGAAGAAGGCCUUCGGGUUGUAAAGCUCUGUCGAGCGGGACGAAAAAUCAUUAGGUGAAUAGCCUAGUGAUCUGACGGUACCGCUAAAGGAAGCACCGGCUAACUCCGUGCCAGCAGCCGCAGUAAAAC
rnacentral:rRNA from 1 species